rnacentral:rRNA from 1 species
UACGUAGGGGGCAAGCGUUGUCCGGAAUCAUUGGGCGUAAAGCGCGUGUAGGCGGCUGGCUAAGUCCGCUCUGAAAGCCCGGGGCUCAACCCCGGGAGGCGGGUGGAUACUGGUCAGCUCGAGUCCGGAAGAGGAGUGUGGAAUUCCUGGUGUAGCGGUGAAAUGCGCAGAUAUCAGGAGGAACACCAAUGGCGAAGGCAGCACUCUGGGACGGUACUGACGCUGAGACGCGAAAGUGUGGGGAGCGAACAGG